rnacentral:rRNA from 1 species
UACAGAGGUCUCAAGCGUUGUUCGGAUUCAUUGGGCGUAAAGGGUGCGUAGGUGGCGGGGUAAGUCGGAUGUGAAAUCCCGGGGCUCAACCUCGGAACUGCAUUCGAUACUGCUUUGCUUGAGUACUGGAGAGGAGAUUGGAAUUUACGGUGUAGCAGUGAAAUGCGUAGAUAUCGUAAGGAAGACCAGUGGCGAAGGCGGAUCUCUGGACAGUUACUGACACUGAGGCACGAAGGCCAGGGGAGCAAACAGG